rnacentral:rRNA from 1 species
UACGAAGGGACCUAGCGUAGUUCGGAAUUACUGGGCUUAAAGAGUUCGUAGGUGGUUGAAAUAGUUGGUGGUGAAAUCCCAGAGCUUAACUCUGGAACUGCCAUCAAAACUUUUCAGCUAGAGUAUGAUAGAGGAAAGCAGAAUUUCUAGUGUAGAGGUGAAAUUCGUAGAUAUUAGAAAGAAUACCAAUUGCGAAGGCAGCUUUCUGGAUCAUUACUGACACUGAGGAACGAAAGCAUGGGUAGCGAAGAGG